GUCCAGUACGGGUGAUGAUAUAAACAGUAGCAAGUGGUAGGUGACGUCUAGCUGAGGUUUGGGCUCCAUAGGCUGAUAGUGCAAUUUCCUCUGUUUGGGAGGACAUAACUCCAAGCUGGUUUGCUAGGUCAGUAGUAAUAAAAAACCGUUGAGCUCCUUCAUCAAGAAGAAUAUUGGCAUCACAAUGAAGUUGCCCAGUGCUCACAGUUGCAAUGGCUGUUUUCAAAAGCGAAACAUGUCUUACUGUUGGAGAAUAGGUGGAUGGGACCAGGGUUGCAUGGGUGGGUGUUGGCUGUGGUGUAUUUGGAGUAGCGGGAAGGGCUUGUUGAUUGUUGGGAUUUUGGUGGAAGGGAGGGGGUGGAGGUGUUAUUGGAGGGUG